rnacentral:rRNA from 1 species
UGGGAAUAUUGGGCAAUGGGCGCAAGCCUGACCCAGCAACGCCGCGUGAAGGAAGAAGGCUUUCGGGUUGUAAACUUCUUUGUCGGGGACGAGUAGAAGACGGUACCUGGCGAAUAAGCCACGGCUAACUACGUGCCAGCAGCCGCGGUAAUACGUAGGUGGCAAGCGUUGUCCGGAUUUACUGGGUGUAAAGGGCGUGUAGCCGGGAAGGCAAGUCAGAUGUGAAAUCCACGGGCUUAACUCGUGAACUGCAUUUGAAACUACUUUUCUUGAGUAUCGGAGAGGCAAUCGGAAUUCCUAGUGUAGCGGUGAAAUGCGUAGAUAUUAGGAGGAACACCAGUGGCGAAGGCGGAUUGCUGGACGACAACUGACGGUGAGGCGCGAAAGCGUGGGGAGC